CUCAUUGUUCUUUUGAUCUGUUGUAUCUCUCUUUUCACUACUUUCAAGAGUACUACCAAUCGCCCUGGGAUUCACUCCGGUGAAGAGUCGACCAAAGAUGAGAAAAAUGCUAUUGAAAAAUUGCCACAAUAAUAGGGAUUUUCCGGUGUAGAAUGAUUGCUCUCACAGGUUUGGUUCAGUUAAUAUGUUAACUUAACUUUCUUAUUUAUCAUCUGGACAGUUGUUAAUGCUGACUAAGUUGAACACAUCAGAUGAAACAAUGGUUUUGAUAAAGCUUAGGAAAUGAGCAUAAAUUGGAGACAUGGCGCAGAACUCAGGAAUUGAUUUAGAUGUCUUUGAAAAGAAUUCUUCUUCAAUGGAACAUUAAUUGAUUUUUUCCAUGACCAUUGUCUUCUAUAUUGAUAUUUUCAGGAGUUUGGGUUUUGCUAUUUUAUUAUCCUAUCGAGUAUAUAUUUCCAUGACAAUAAUAGAGCCUUGCAAGCAGAUUAAAUUUAUUAAUAUGUGCGCAUGUCUGAGUUGCAUAACAAAUGUGACAUAGAGAACUUCGUUGUUGGAACAGAUGUGUACUUUUCUCAGUAACACUCAAGGUUGGGGUUCCUUCAUUGAUCCACCUAAUUGCAAUCCCUGUGCUUGCUUAGAACCAUUUUUAUUUUAGAUGUUAAAUUAAUGUCUCCUGCGUUUCAGAUUCGGCUCUUCUUAGAUUUGAUUAAGCUACUGUUGAUAAAAAAAUUCUCAUUAUGUGGUAACAAUCGACAGGUAAAAUCAUUGAUAACCUCCCAUGGUAAUUUGAAUUUAAUUACACCCCUUUUAAAUUCUUUAUGGCUAUGAUUGAGGAAAACUAUUAAUGUUAGAUUUGGGGUAAAGCACAGCUUAUGCUGUAAAUGUCUUCUCAUUGUUGAUACUAAUGUUUUUUUUCUUUUUCUUAAUGUAUUAACUGUUUGUGUAUUAGAUGCUUUGGAUUAAUGACAGGGGCAUCAAGAAUGCCAAUUAUGUGCUUCCAGUUUAGUUUUUUGGUUGUCGAUUAACUGUAAGAAACUAACAAAAACAAAGAACAUAGUUGCACGACUUAUUUCAGCAGAAGUAAUAUGGUUUUUCAGUUAUAUUAUGACUGGAUUUCUAUGAGAUUGCUGCUUUGUUGACCAGACUUCGAUGUAUUUCUGCAGGAUUUAUUGGUGGAGACCGCGACAGAUCAGGAUGGCUCAGUCAGUAAUAUCACCGUGCAGCCCACAGUUUUUCAGGCAUUGGUACUAGUAGUACGUAAAGCGAGUCAAUCUAUAUGCAGUUAAGAAGAAAACGAUAAUAGAAGAUCCUUGCUUUGCCCCCAGAAGCAUGGCAAUACAGUCGAAGAAAAAUUAUAAUCAUCACAAUGUAUGUGAUGUAACACGUUUUCUAAUUUAUUUAUCAUUGAU